rnacentral:rRNA from 1 species
AUUGAACGCUGGCGGCAGGCCUAACACAUGCAAGUCGAGCGGAUGAAGGGAGCUUGCUCCUGGAUUCAGCGGCGGACGGGUGAGUAAUGCCUAGGAAUCUGCCUGGUUGUGGGGGAUAACGUCCGGAAACGGGCGCUAAUACCGCAUACGUCCUGAGGGAGAAGGUGGGGGAUCUUCGGACCUCACGCUAUCAGAUGAGCCUAGGUCGGAUUAGCUAGUUGGUGGGGUAAAGGCCUACCAAGCCGACGAUCCGUAACUGGUCUGAGAGGAUGAUCAGUCACACGGGAACUGAGACACGGUCCUGGCUCCUACGGGAGGCAGCAGUGGGGUAUAUUGGACAAUGGGCGAAAGCCUUAUCCAGCGAUGCCGCGUGUGUGAAGAAGGUCUUCGGAUUGUAAAGAACUUUAAGUUGGGAGGAAGGGCAGUAAGUUAAUACGUUGCUGUUUUGACGGUACCAACAGAAUAAGCACCGGCUAACUUCGUG